AUUGAACGCUGGCGGCAUGCCUUACACAUGCAAGUCGAACGGCAGCACGGGUGCUUGCACCUGGUGGCGAGUGGCGAGCGGAUGAGUAAUACAUCGGAACAUGUCCUGUAGUGGGGGAUAGCCCGGCGAAAGCCGGUUUAAUACCUCAUACGAUCUACGGAUGACAGCGGUGGACCUUCGGGCCUGGCGCUAUAGGGUUGGCCGAUGGCUGAUUAGCUAGUUGGUGGGGUAAAGGCCUACCAAGGCGACGAUCAGUAGCUGGUAUGAGAGGACGACCAGCCACACUGGGACUGAGACACGGCCCAGACUCCUACGGGAGGCAGCAGUGGGGAAUUUUGGACAAUGGGCGAAAGCCUGAUCCAGCAAUGCCGCGUGUGUGAAGAAGGCCUUCGGGUUGUAAAGCACUUUUGUCCGGAAAGAAAUACUUGGCCCUAAUACGGUCGGGGGAUGACGGUACCGGAAGAAUAAGCACCGGCUAACUACGUG
rnacentral:rRNA from 1 species